CCAGUCACAGUGAGGCUGCUGAGAAAAAGAAAUCCAAUUUUUCCAUGUUUCCUCUCACUUUAUUGAACCCAGGUGAUGCCCUCUGCUGCAUUCCAGUACAGCACAAAACUCUCACUCACGAAGACUCCUUAAGCUAGGACCAGCCUCCAGAAAAAAGGAGGCAAAUUUCUUUUCCACUCUCUGUCAUUUUGCUGAAGUGGCACAAAAUAAAAACAGAGUUCAUACUCUUUCUUAUAGCAGGAUAUAAUCACCUGAACGUCAGAAUUUAAGGAUUUCCACAAUCAGCGAAGGCACCUCUGAAACAUGGGUCCCAAACACUUGGCUGUUGGAAGUAACAGGCCCCUUCCAACCAACUGAUUCCUCAUACCGGCAAAUCAGCAAGCCAACAUUGAACAAUCAUUUUUCCAGCAAUGUUAAAGCACAUUGAAGAUGGAAAACAGAACGUAUUCUUUGUUCUAAAGAUGUUCAUGAGUUUGUAUGCAAUGACUUGCAGUGGACAAUAUGUGCACUUGAGUGUCAGGUAAGCACCAAUCUAUGCUUAGGAUCUUGUAUUUUGAAAAAGGCUUCUUGCUAAUGGAAACUACAGCAAGUCAACCAAUUGUCCAACUUCAGUUUGAAUGGGAAACUGAACAUUUUGAAAGAGAUUGGAAGAUUCUAAGAUUAUUUCCCUCUGUGUGGGGCAGGGGAUGGAACAGACAUCUGGAUGGAACUCUCACACAUGAAAAACACACACCAAUGUGGUGGUGUCUGAAGAGGCGGAUCAAUAGUAGUUAAGAGGCUGAGGAAGUUUAUAACUUUAGUCAGUUAACAUUCUGAACCUCAUCAAAUUUUAUACAAUUAGAUAUAACUGUCAAUGAAGAAAAGACUUGCCAUAAGAUGAUACAGAUGAAAACACACAAACCAGGAG